rnacentral:rRNA from 1 species
AGUGAACGCUGGCGGUAGGCCUAACACAUGCAAGUCGAACGGCAGCACAGUAAGAGCUUGCUCUUACGGGUGGCGAGUGGCGGACGGGUGAGGAAUACAUCGGAAUCUACUUUUUCGUGGGGGAUAACGUAGGGAAACUUACGCUAAUACCGCAUACGACCUACGGGUGAAAGCAGGGGAUCUUCGGACCUUGCGCGAUUGAAUGAGCCGAUGUCGGAUUUGCUAGUUGGCGGGGUAAAGGCCCACCAAGGCGACGAUCCGUAGCUGGUCUGAGAGGAUGAUCAGCCACACUGGAACUGAGACACGGUCCAGACUCCUACGGGAGGCAGCAGUGGGGAAUAUUGGACAAUGGGCGCAAGCCUGAUCCAGCCAUACCGCGUGGGUGAAGAAGGCCUUCGGGUUGUAAAGCCCUUUUGUUGGGAAAGAAAAGCAGCAGGUUAAUACCCCGCUGUUCUGACGGUACCCAAAGAAUAAGCACCGGCUAACUUCGU